GGUACCUGCGGGCUAGGGGCGGGGGUAAGACGGGGGGUGCAAGCGUUUUCCGGAUUCACUGGGGUUAAAGGGUGGGUAGGUGGGUUGGUAAGUCAGUGGUGAAAUCCCCGAGCUUAACUUGGGAACUGCCAUUGAUACUAGUAAUCUUGAAUACCGUGGAGGUCAGCGGAAUAUGUCAUGUAGCGGUGAAAUGCUUAGAUAUGACAUAGAACACCAAUUGCGAAGGCAGCUGGCUACGCGAAUAUUGACACUGAUGCACGAAAGCGUGGGGAUCAAACAGGAUUAGAUACCCUGGUAGUC
rnacentral:rRNA from 1 species